AAAAGUCCGGUCUUUGCCGCACGUCAGCAAUUGUUUUGUCUGCAAAGGCUCCAAACCUUUACCAUUUUCCUUUCUUCUUAUUUUUUUAAAUCACAAAGAAAUGAUAUUUUCGCCGUUGGAUACACGUUAAAGGGUGUGCCGAGUGUUCUUCCACAUCAUGGACCUGGCACCUGCCACCUGCACGGGUGAGCGCUGGGAGGAGAGAUUAGGCUCAGGAGUGGGGAUGUGUACUCUGCCUCUGCUGAGCCCUGGAUUCCUCCUCCAAGCGUUGGCAACAAAAUUAAAAAACUAUAGAUACAUAUUUUAUGUAUAUUUUUAUUUAUAUUGGCUGUAUGUACAUAUAUGUGCUUAAGUGAUUCAAGAGGACCUCUUCAAUUUUUAGGCAAAUGUUUUUGUUAAUUUUUACUACAUUUUAAUUGAACUCAUUACAUGCAAAAUACUAAUAAAUAUAGACAAUAAAAAUAAGUAAUGAGAGGGCAGAAGAGAUAGCUGAUGUGUAAGAGAGCUUGCUGCUCUUCCAGAGGGCCCGAAGUCAGUUCCUAGUAUGCACAUGGAGGCUCACAACCAACUAAAUCUCUGCUUGGUAUCCAAGGACCUCUUCUGAACCCUGAAAAUACCUGCGCAAAUGGUACACACACACACACAGUAGAAAAUUUUUAAAUGAAUUUAAAAAAUAACGAUACACUUUUUAAAAUAAAUUUUAAGAAUCAUAUCUAUACCUACAUACUAAUUCCUGACUAGCCAUACUUCAGAUCUCAGUAAUUUAUACAUAUUUAUCAUAAUUUUAUUUUUUGUGUGAUUGUGUGUACAUGUGCAGACACAUGACACACUUGUAGAGGUCAGAGAACAACUUACAAGUAUUGGUUCUCUCUUACCAUAUGGGGAGUGUAUGAGUGGGUCAAGCUCAACUCAUCAGGCUUGGUUUUAUCAGCUGAGCUGAACUAUCUUAUUGGUCCCAUUUAUUGUUUGUUUUGGUUUUCUUCUUUUGGGUUUUUUGGUCUUUUUGAGAUGGAGGCUUACUAUGUAGCCUUGGCUGGCCUGCAACUUGCUAUGCAGAUGAGUCUGGCCUUGAACUCACAAAGAACAAUAAAUACAUUUAAAAAAAAUAAAUAAAUCGUAG
rnacentral:lncRNA from 1 species